UAAAACAAAAACAACAAUAAAAACCCUCUACAAUUAUGGAGAGGAAGAAAUCACUGUCCUGGGAGGUUACGGUUUGAAGUCAUCCAAGUCAUUUCUCUGCUUCCUAGAAGUACGGGAAAGCUGUAACUCAGAGCAGGUAUCUCAUCCAGGAAUUUAGAAGCAGAAGUCAGGGAAACUAUGUAUGCAGAGUCAAGACAAUAAAUUGCCUCUUUCAGGACCUGAAAGUGUCCCUUGAAAUUGGAUGCAGCUACAAGGGCCCACUGAUUGCAGACAUACACUGCCUCCUGGCUCUAAGUCACCACACCUUCAGAUUCCACCAAAUACCAGUUCCCUUCUAGCAAGAGUUAAAACAGAUAAGUUUGAGCUAUCGAGCUUCUACAGAGGUAAGCAUCAGUUUUUUUGUCAUUCUCCCUAUUAUGUACCAUGAAGUGUCAUCUUUUCUUAGACCCAGAUUUUCCCUGUUUAUACUGCAAACCACGUUUUUAACCACCCUAAUAAAGGACGCAGUAGAAUACCCA
rnacentral:lncRNA from 1 species